ACUUCAUAAUUUUUUUUUUUUCUUUUUCAUGCACGAGUCAUUUUAAAUUGAGGAUGGAAUAUAUCUUGACUUGAUUUCAUGACCUGUGGAAGGAAUUCUCUACUACAGAUUUAACUAUAUAGGUCAUUUUUCUUUAUCUAUCUAUAUAAUGUAUAUGUUUUAAUUAUGCAUCGAAUUUUUAAUUGUUGCUGGAAAAAAAUGAAUUUAAUUUUAGGCUUAUUUCCUGUUCUAAUAGCAUAUAUAUGGUUGUCAAAUUUGAUUUUUUUUAUUGGCGGACUGAAUAUUUUUUCAUUCUUUAACUACUACGUCUCUAGCUAAUGGGAAAAUAAUAAAAAUGGAGAAGGAACGCAUGAGCAUUCUUCAGUAAAAUUGGCAAUAGUUGCUGUACGAUUGGCAACAUUCUGCUUGUUGAUGGGCUUCCAAAUGAUUGUGUGAGAAGAGAAAUAGGUCGUAUCCUUGCUAUUGUAUUGCUGUUAAUUCUUUUCUUUGUCUCCUUAUAUUAUUGGUCAGGGUUUGUUUAUGGAAAUGGACAUACAUUUAUUCUACAUUAUGUGCAGGAAUCACUAUCAAUACUAAUCUAUUGUGAUGUUCUAUUGCUGCAGUUACUGGGAGAGGCAUGAUCGAGGUUGAAGAUCAUGGUAUCAGCAGCAGCAUCUUUCCAUGCAUGGUUGCUGAGGGCGAUGUUUGCACUGAGAUCUGUACGCUUGAGAGUAAAAUAGAAUUGGUUGUGACAGAUUCGUUCCCCUGAGGCACUGAAAAAUUAGAAACACAAAAUCAAGCCAUGAAUUUCAUCCAUGAAAUGGGAUGGCUUCUUUUCAAAAAUAGUUUGAAGUCUAGGUUGGAACACUUGGAUCACAACUCAAAGUUCCCAUUUAAAUGGUUCAAGUACCUCAUGAAGUUCUUCGUUGACCAUGAUUCGUGUGUCGUCGUAAAUAAACCCUUGGACAUUCUUUUCAGUGGAAUAGUAGGCGCAAGAGAGUUGCCUUUAUUGAAGUUUGCACUGCAACAGAUGGGCCUUCUUCGCCCAGUGGGCGAACUUACCGACGAAGUAAGAAGCAAGUGAAAAUGAUUAUAGCUUCUUGUUCGUGCUGUCAAGGGCUGCCUAUUUAUUCUUUGCCUUAUAGAGGUUAGAAUUUCAUCCGCCCAGAAGGACUUUGAUGUAUUUAUUUUCUAAUUUCCUUCUUAAUAUUUGCAAUGGAGAAACAAAAUUUCCAACGUCUAUAUUUUCGAGUUUUCUAUAUCAAUUUUCAUAAAUC